rnacentral:lncRNA from 1 species
AUCUACAAACUAUCCUUCAAAGAUCUUAAGGUGAUCACAUCAUGCAUGCAUUGACCUUCAGAGUGUGCGAUCGAUCGAGAGCUAUAUCCAUCUCUCGAUCUAAAAAAGGUGAGAUAUUUUUUUAAAGAUGGUAAAAAAACACCCAAUGGUGUGAUGCAGUACUGCUGCUAGCUCGACCGAUGAACGAACCAUUAAUCCAAUCAUUCCUUGUCCUCGUUGCAUCAUGUAAGUUCAUGCAGUAAGUUUGGCCACAGGAAGAAGAAUCAAGGCAGGCAUCUUGGCCCUCUGAUCCAUGGACAGUGUCUGAGAGAUACGCGAUGCGAUUGAUUUCUGCGGCAUCAAAUCAGGACGAAGAAGCAAUUAACUGUGGAUAAUGGUUAAACAGAUAGAAAAGAUAAGCAGAUUAGCAUCGACGACCGACCGAUCCAUCUUCCUCUGGCCGCCAUGCAUGGCGGGCAUCAUCUGAAAACCGGGCCGGUGCUGCCGGUUUGGUACGGCGCGCGCGCCGUCGGAUCGCGGCGUCGCAGAGGGCACAGCUAGCGAUGAGGGUGAUCCGAUCCAUCCACACCCUGAUUCGGCGCGUGAUCGGCGUGGAGAUAGCGGGCGGGAAGAUCUUCGAUCGGGUGAUCACGACAGGGAAUCGAUCGGUCGAGGUGGAUAUAUACAUGGGAUUUGAUAGCUAGAUUCCGAUAAGAGAGGAAACGGAGCUAGGGAAGAACAAACUAAAAGCUAGAGAGUUGAGAGCGAGAGCGGCAGUGCACAGUGGUGUACUGUACAUAUAUGCCAGCCUGCAGAUAUCAUAGGUAGGAGAAGAAGAUGCAACCAGCUGAUAGCUAUACCUGCAUGCCGCGAUGGGUGAUUCGAGACCACCUUUCUGAAAACCACCACGCGAAGCAGGCAUGGCCGGCGCCGCAUUCAUGCAGAGAAUAGAUCAUGGGGCCGGCCGCCGGAAUCGGGGCUCCGUCCACGGUAACCUGCAACCGCCUCUGGCCGCGGGACGAUCGACCAUGUGGUUCUUCCUCGAUCGUUAGAUCAAUGAUUCACAGUACUGCACCAUCUCGUUAGAUCAAUGCUGAUGGUUUUCGU